AGAGUUUGAUCCUGGCUCAGAGUGAACGCUGGCGGUAGGCCUAACACAUGCAAGUCGAACGGCAGCACAGUAAGAGCUUGCUCUUACGGGUGGCGAGUGGCGGACGGGUGAGGAAUACAUCGGAAUCUACUUUUUCGUGGGGGAUAACGUAGGGAAACUUACGCUAAUACCGCAUACGACCUACGGGUGAAAGCAGGGGAUCUUCGGACCUUGCGCGAUUGAAUGAGCCGAUGUCGGAUUAGCUAGUUGGCGGGGUAAAGGCCCACCAAGGCGACGAUCCGUAGCUGGUCUGAGAGGAUGAUCAGCCACACUGGAACUGAGACACGGUCCAGACUCCUACGGGAGGCAGCAGUGGGGAAUAUUGGACAAUGGGCGCAAGCCUGAUCCAGCCAUACCGCGUGGGUGAAGAAGGCCUUCGGGUUGUAAAGCCCUUUUGUUGGGAAAGAAAUCCAGCUGGCUAAUACCCGGUUGGGAUGACGGUACCCAAAGAAUAAGCACCGGCUAACUUCGUGCCAGCAGCCGCGGUAAUACGAAGGGUGCAAGCGUUACUCGGAAUUACUGGGCGUAAAGCGUGCGUAGGUGGUCGUUUAAGUCCGUUGUGAAAGCCCUGGGCUCAACCUGUGAACUGCGGUGGAUACUGGGCGACUAGAAUGUGGUAGAGGGUAGCGGAAUUCCUGGUGUAGCAGUGAAAUGCGUAGAGAUCAGGAGGAACAUCCAUGGCGAGGGCAGCUACCUGGACCAACAUUGACACUGAGGCACGAAAGCGUGGGGA
rnacentral:rRNA from 1 species